AUUUAAAUAAACAAGAGGCGAGUCCCCCGGUCCGGUGUGGUGGGAAGGAUGCGGUCAUCACAGAGGCCUCAGCAGCAGCAUGCGGAAUGCCUGCCCCCAGGAAACGGGUGUGCUCUCCGCCGGCUGAAGGCAGAGCCUUCAGUGACGUAUGCUGCUCUGAGCUGUGCAGGGCCCGGCUUCAGUGGUACCAGGAGAGUGCUCUGCCACAAAGAAGCACAAAGGGAUUGCACUUAGAAAGGAAUACAUUUCUUCAGGACUGCCGGGAGGGAGUUUCUGCAACCAAAAAAGAAACCUCCUCUAUCAAGCUUUUCCUUAAAAUUACUCUAGAG
rnacentral:lncRNA from 1 species